AGCUUCAAUAGCGUAUAUUAAAGUUGUUGCAGUUAAAAAUAUCGUAGUUGGAUUUCUGGUAAGAGCCACUGGUCACACACUCUGUGUGUGAACAUGUGUUAUCUCUGGCCAUCCUGGGGGAGAUUCUGUUUGGUAUUAAGUUGUUGAGCAUGGAAUACACAUCGUUUACUGUGAACAAUAUACUAUGUAUGUUUAAAACAGGCUUAUGCCACUGCAUAUAUUAGCAUGGAAUAAUAGGAUAAGACUUCGGAACUAUUAUGUUGGUUUGCGUUACGCAGUAAUUAUUGGUAGGGACAGUUGGCGGUAUUCGUAUUUUGUUUUCAGAGGUUAAAUUAUUGUAUUUCCAAAAGACAAACUACUGCGAAAGCAUUUACCAAGGAUGUUUUCA
rnacentral:rRNA from 1 species